AGCUGGUGUGGCGUAGUUGUUAGAGCGUCAGGCUAGGACCUGGGAGGUCAGGGUUCAAAUCCCGUCCCAGCCA